AGAUGAAAAGGUGGAAGGAGUUGAUCUGAUAUAAUGGGCUGGUCUGGGUUACAGUAAGAAUCAACAAUUUGCAUUGAAAUAAUGGGGGUGAACUGACCUGGUUCUAGUCACUUUUGUUCUUUAACCAUCCUAAAAAACAGGAAAGGAAAGCGUCCUUUUCCCCUCUGAUGUGAAGGUUUUGCUGGCCUACUGUAAAGCCCGGGGGACCGAACAGCCUCCUUUUGAUGCUCGGCGUGUUCGUCGGAGCGCUUCUCCUGAAAACCCGGUUUGUUUCCAUCAAUCGAAUGUUUCAGUUUGCAGCAAGUACGUUUUAAAAAACCACUCCAGCUUCCGGCUGACGUCUAACAGUCGGAUCAAAGUCCUUAGAGGGGGCAGAGUGGUGCUGCCGCUGCACAUCUCUUGAGUUCAGUUUCACUUUGGUAAAGGUCAGGGGGGUUCAGGUGUCCUGUCUCCUUGCUUUUCCUGCUGUCAGAAACUAAGCGUACGGGCAGGCAGCUUGUCACACGGAAAGCCAGCUCCCAUGAUGCCCUUGUGCUUAUUUUUCACUCCUUUGCCCUCCUCAAUCACAGCCCCCCCACCACCCCAUCACGGAGUGCUACUUGAGUCUCGACUACACCUGGGACCCUCUCUCGCCUUGCAGCCAUUGGAUCAGCUGCUGACUAUAACGCCACAUCUUUUUUUUCUUUUGUUCUCUGCCCACAUAUUAACUAGGAGAUGCCCGCAAAAAAAAAAAAAAAAAAAGAACAGAUCAAGGUCCUGGAAAGCCGAUGCAACAAUUAUGCAACCAUCUUUAUCCAUCUCACGAAUUCCCCUUGCAGGCUUUGGCUCAUCAGUUUUAAACGGCAUGAGGCAGUCUGGCAUUGUUCUUUCGAUUCAAGUGGACAAAAGUGUCUCCAGUGAAGUCCCAUCCAUCAAUACUUUGGG